AGAGUUUGAUCCUUUCUCAGGACGAACGCUGGCGGCGUGCUUAACACAUGCAAGUCGAACGGGGUAUGCGAGGAGCUUGCUUUGAGCAUACUUAAGUGGCGGACGGGUGAGUAACGCGUGAGGAUCUGUCCUAUACAGGGGACAACAGAUGGAAACGUCUGCUAAUACCGCAUAAGCCUAAGGGUAAAAGGAGAGAUUCGGUAUAGGAGGAACUCGCGUCCUAUCAGCUAGUAGGUGAGGUAACGGCUCACCUAGGCGAAGACGGGUAGCCGGCCUGAGAGGGCGAACGGCCACACUGGAACUGAGAUACGGUCCAGACUCCUACGGGAGGCAGCAGUGGGGAAUAUUGGGCAAUGGGGGAAACCCUGACCCAGCGACGUCGCGUGAGUGAAGAAAUCCCUCGGGAUGUAAGCUCUGUUGUACGGGAAGAGAAGCAGACGGUACCGUACGAGGAAGCCCCGGCAAACUACGUGCCAGCAGCCGCGGUAAUACGUAGGGGGCAAGCGUUGUCCGGAAUUACUGGGCGUAAAGCGCACCGCAGGCGGCCAUCAAGUCGGUCCGUAAACAGGCAGUGGCUCAACUACUGUAAGACGGCGAUACUGAUGAGCUAAGUAUUUGAGAGGAAGCGGAAUCCCCGGUUGUACGGUGAAAUGCGUAGAUUCGGAGGACACCGUGGAAGGGGUCCUGGCAGAUGA
rnacentral:rRNA from 1 species